CGGGGCGUAGCUCAGCCUGGUAGAGCACCUGCUUUGGGAGCAGGGGGUCGCGAGUUCGAAUCCCGCCGCCCCGA
rnacentral:tRNA from 1 species